UGGGGAAUAUUGGACAAUGGGGGAAACCCUGAUCCAGCGACGCCGCGUGUGUGAAGAAGGCCUUCGGGUUGUAAAGCACUUUCGGCAGGGACAAACAAGACGGAGCUAACAUCUCCGUUCCUGAUGGUACCUGAAGAAGAAGCACCGGCUAACUCUGUGCCAGCAGCCGCGGUAAUACAGAGGGUGCAAGCGUUAAUCGGAAUUACUGGGCGUAAAGCGUGCGUAGGUGGUUUGCUAAGUCAGGUGUGAAAUCCCAGGGCUCAACCCUGGAACUGCAUUUGAUACUGGCAGGCUAGAGUGUGGUAGAGGAUAGUGGAAUUCCCGGUGUAGCGGUGAAAUGCGUAGAUAUCGGGAGGAACAUCAGUGGCGAAGGCGGCUAUCUGGACUAACACUGACACUGAGGCACGAAAGCGUGGGGAGCAAACAG
rnacentral:rRNA from 1 species